CAACCGGAUUUUCUAAAAUCCACCCUUUCAAUCAAAGAAUCGUCAU
rfam:Thalassiosira oceanica strain CCMP1005 To_g45915, whole genome shotgun sequence.